rnacentral:rRNA from 1 species
AUUGAACGCUGGCGGCAGGCCUAACACAUGCAAGUCGAACGAGUGGCGGACGGGUGAGUAAUGUCUGGGACUCUGCCUGAUGGAGGGGGUUAACUACCGGACACGGUUGCUAAUACCGUAUACCAUCAGAUGUGUCCAGUUGGGAUUAGCUAGUUGUUGGGGUAACGCCGCACCAAGGCGACGAUCCCUAGCUGGUCUGAGAGGAUGACCAGCCACACUGGAACUGAGACACGGUCCAGACUCCUACGGGAGGCAGCAGUGGGGAAUAUGGCACAAUGGGCGCAAGCCUGAUGCAGCCAUGCCGCGUGUAUGAAGAAGGCCUUCGGGUUGUAAAGUACUUUCAGCGGGGAGGCGUUACCCGCAGAAGAAGCACCGGCUAACUCCGUGCCAGCAGCCGCGGUAAUUC